ensembl:misc_RNA Y_RNA Y RNA
GGCAGGUCUGAGGGUGGUGAGUUCUCCCAACCGAUUGCUCACAGUCAGUUAAAGCUAGAACCCCAUGUUCUAAACUCCUCCUUCUAACUACUUCGCUUGACUAGCCUAAA